ensembl:lncRNA
GACCUCGCUCUGUUAUCUACCCGAGUCACGGGGUUCAAGCGCUGCAGGUGUCGGUCGGCAGAGCUAUUACACUGUUCUGCGAUGAAGAACUAUGAUGAUGAUCUGCAUUAUGGCACAACUCAUUACGUGACUGACAGAAAAGGAUGAGCCGUAUGCAAGAGCUGGAACGGAGAUGUUUCCGACUGUUAGAGAGAAAAUGGAUUGUCUCCUGCCUUUAACAUGUGCCGACCCGUCCUUGGGUGUAGGAGCCUUGGAUGCAGCUGUGGGCCCUGAUACAUACUUGGAUGGCUUGUCUUCCAUUAACCUUGAUCAACUGACUUCUACAAUUUCCAGGUCCAAAUCAUCUACCUGUUUCGUGGAUCCGAUUUCGACUCGGCUGCUUAAGAAGCUUUUUCCUUUAAUUAGUAUGUCUUUACUGGAUAUUACGUAUAUGUCUGUUGACGAGACAUGUACCGCAGUCCUUCAAGGUAGCUGUAAUUAAACCUCUUCUUAAAAAAAAACUAUUCUUGCUCCAGAGGUGUUGGUAAACUACCGCUAAUCUCCUCUUCCUCUAUAAGAUCCUGGAGGAAAUACAAACACAAAUCAGUUGUGUGAGUUUCUACAUAACAAUGGACAAAGGACUCGUCUCUGUUCUUGUCUUGCUGGACCUCAGCUGCCAUGUCUGACACCAUUAACCAUUGUAUCCUGUUGCAGAGACUAGAGACAUCAGGACCACAGAGAGCCUUUACAUCUUCCGUCUAAAGACACACUUCUUUAGAUUAUACCUGCAAUGUAAUUGGUAUUAAAAAUCUGCACUCUGGCUUGUUCAAGUCGUAUUUUUCGGAUCGAUCCCAGUUUGUGCAGUUUGUUCAUCAAGCGGUGAAUCCUUGAUGACUCCAAAGUUGGUCACGGAGUCCCACAAGGUUCUGAGCGUGAGCGAUUUUAUUUACGCUCUGUAUGCUUCCUUCAGGCAAUGUUAUUAGAAAACACUGCAUAAACGUCUGUUGUUAUGCAGAUGACACUCGAUUGUAUCUGUCGAUCAAGCCAGAUGAGACCGACCAGCUCGUUAGACUUCAGGAAUGUCUUGGAUGACCAGCAAUUUUCUGAUGUUAAACUCAGACAAAACAGAUGUUGAUAGGACCAGAGGGCCUUUGAAGUCAGCCGUCUUGUGAUCUCUGGUGAUCUGGUAUCCAGGAGAGGGAUCCCUCCUCUGCCGUUCCCCCCAAGGUCUGAUGCAAAUUAGUGAUUUACGAUUCUUGGCUAUAUAAAAUAAAAUGAAUUGAAUGGAAUUGAAUUGAAUUGUUUUGUAUGUUACUGGUCUUCCCUCUAAGAAUUUGCAUACUGCAAACACAAGCAGAGAAUACUCAAACCAAAACUGGUUAAACCGCCCUGACCACUUUCAGUUUAACUUUCGCUUUCC